UGGGGAAUUUUGGACAAUGGGCGCAAGCCUGAUCCAGCCAUGCCGCGUGCGGGAAGAAGGCCUUCGGGUUGUAAACCGCUUUUGUCAGGGAAGAAAUCUUCUGAGUUAAUACCUCGGGAGGAUGACGGUACCUGAAGAAUAAGCACCGGCUAACUACGUGCCAGCAGCCGCGGUAAUACGUAGGGUGCAAGCGUUAAUCGGAAUUACUGGGCGUAAAGCGUGCGCAGGCGGUUUUGUAAGACAGAGGUGAAAUCCCCGGGCUCAACCUGGGAACUGCCUUUGUGACUGCAAGGCUUGAGUGCGGCAGAGGGGGAUGGAAUUCCGCGUGUAGCAGUGAAAUGCGUAGAUAUGCGGAGGAACACCGAUGGCGAAGGCAAUCCCCUGGGCCUGCACUGACGCUCAUGCACGAAAGCGUGGGGAGCAAAACAGGAUUAGAUACCCUGGUAGUCCACGCCCUAAACGAUGUCAACUGGUUGUUGGGAAGGUUCCUUCUCAGUAACGUAGCUAACGCGUGAAGUUGACCGCCUGGGGAGUACGGCCGCAAGGUUG
rnacentral:rRNA from 1 species